UCAAGAUGUGAGAGCUAGCCAAUAAGAAGCUAGAGCUAAUGGGCCAAGCAGUGUUUAAAUGAAUACAAUUUGUGUGUUGUUAUUUGGGUGUAAAGCUAGCCAUGCGGGAGCUGGGUGGCAGGACACGGCCUGCCGCUCCUUUUACAGGAAGAGGGGCUAUAACUGCUCAGAUCAGCAGCAUUAAGGAGAAAGCCAACUAUACUGGAACAAAGGGAAGGGUGUUCAAGGGGAGACCCCCUAUCUCCUAACCCUCACCACCAAGCUCCCAACUUGUGAAAGAGAACCCGUAGUGCUUCUGCUUCUAGGAAACAACUUGAUCCCAAAGCCAAUGUGAUUCAAGAGGGCAGGGGCCAUCCCAAGCUGUAGCCAAACCUGGCAGUGUUGCCCGUUUGCUGCUGGCUCCAGAGUAUGAAAGACACAAGAGGGGAAAGAUCAUGGUUCUUCUUCCUCUGUAGUGUCAGAGAGCCAUGACGGCCAGGCACUGUGGCAGGGGGGUCCUGUUUUACAAAGCUGUGAAAGGGAAACCUGGGCUGCAGAGGAGAUCACAGACAUCAGCGAUGCCUCAGCUGUUAGCUGCCAAGGGGAGCGACAGACGGGGGGAGGGGGACCAGUCUCGAGAUGCGUGUCAGUGACUGCAACACUGGAACGAACGGUGGAGACUUUUAAGCCACUGGAACCAGGAGAUCCACAGAGCUGUGUUUGCUUUGCUGGAAUCCGGUUUUGCUGUAGUCCAGGAUCUCCUCACCACGCUCCCAUUCCUCCCUUCCAGGAACUUUCUGUUUGUUUGCCAUCUGAACAGCUCCCACACACAAACUGUCAGAUAAAACUCCAUCUGUGGUUAAUGGAAAGAUCUGCUUCAACGUUGCUUCAGCGCUGGAAAGAAACCCGAGCUUUGAUUAAACUCUGGGGCAAAGUCCCAUCCUACAGCAGCAUGCCUGUCGCAGCCCUGAAAUCAGGCUGCGGCUGUGAAACAUGGAAUUACUGACUGGAGGCACCGGCUGGAAGGCCCCCACUGCCCGGAAGCAGCCACUGAGGCCCCCUCCAAUAACAGCUCCAUCUCUCCACUUCCGUCAUCCAACUGGCUGAGCACCAAAGGAAGAGAAAGGGCUGAACCAGAGUCAUCGAGCUAAAAUGCAGGGUUUGGAAGACAGGCAGCAGCGUCUACACUAUAAGCCAGCUUGGAACAGAAUCAGAACGAGUAAUUUUUAAAAAAUUUGUGAGCCCUUUCAGCUAUUGGCCGAGGCUUCUGUAACAUCUGCCCUUCCUUCUCCAGACGUUUAGCAAAAGAACAAGUUAAAGCAAACACUCUCAGCUUGCUUAAAUGACAGCCCUUAGGAAAGCCCAGGGACUGAUACUGCACACUGGGAAUAUGUGGGUUUUUCUCCCUGUGAUAGGGCUGAUCAACAAGGCAAAGCAAGAUGGCUCUUUCAAAGACAGGGUAAGUCAUAUAAAGGAUAAUUAAGAGUAUAAACAAUGGCUUAGCAGUUAAAAGCACUGACUACUCUUCCAGAGGACCCGAGUUCAAUUCCUAGCACCCACAUGUCAGCUCACAAUUGUCUAUAACUCCAGUUUCAGGGGAUCUAACACAGUCUUCCACACUUCCACGGGAACUGCAUGCAUAUGAUGCACAGUUAUACAUGCAGGCAAAACACCCAUCCGCAAAAAAUAAAAGUAAAUACAUAUGUGUAUUUUUUAAAAAAGAAUGUAUGGAAAGUGACGAUAUAUGCCAGCAUAGGAUCAGUGUCCAAAGACGCCUAGCAGGUGUCAUAGCACAUACGUAUCUGUGCGUCUAAAGACGAGCACCCCCACUUCACUGCCUCCCUCCUGUAUUUUCUUUAAACAAAUGCACACCCCAUCGGUUUUAUGUGAUGUUGGGGUGGACUGUAAAUUCUACCACUCAUCAAAGCACUUUGAUACAACAGAGACUGGAAUGACUAAAAUAAAAUACCAUCUGUAUUCGAUUGGACUUUCCUCCGAGGCCCUAUAACAUUCAUUUCCAGUUUGAUCAUUCCUGCACAUGGGCAACUACGUUCCAAUGUCUCUGAAUAGUAUUAUAUCAUCUUUUCCUUUUGUUCAUAAUAUUAAUUACAGAAUAUUCCAGAUGUAAAGGUAGCAUAAGAAGGCUUUGCUAAUGUAGGAAAAUGGUUCAGAGAAGAGACAAAACUACAUAAUCCUAUGAAACAGCUGAUUUAAUCAAACAGUUAAUUGGAAAUGACUCGGGAAAGUAAAUAUUCAUUAGACGGACAGUUGACUCAUUUGGCUUGCCUUAAAACUAGACCGUGUAAACAGGGGUAUUUCAUUUGUGGUUCUGAAUUCCUAAUUGGUUUCUAUGCUUUCUCUGGGGUUGAAGCUUUAAUUAGAACGGAGGGUGACCAUCCGCCAAUCACGGGCAGGUUGUAGGCAGGGCUGGGAUGGUCUGGCUUUUCACCUUUUUUCUCUUCAUUUUUUUUACUGGCAGGAUGCUUGGAUGGCAGCCCUGCCAGGAGCUACGAAACUGGGUAAAAGGGACUUUUAUUUGGAAAAAUUAACAAAGGCAGAGUCUUGCCCUAGGAAGUCUGUCCUUCCUUCUGCUUCCUUCAAGGAUACAACUGCAGGGUCCAGAGGCUUACAACUGUAAUGACAGCAUUUGGGAAACUGAGGCAGGAGGACUGCCAUAAAUCCUAUGCUACCAUGGGUUCCACAGUAGGGUCUGGGUCCACACGUGAUACAGAAUGAACACCUGUAUCACAUAAAAUAAAACAACUGAUCCCCGGGAACACUUUGUCCCCAGAACCAAACUGAACACAGUCCUUUCAACACACCCAAAAUAAAUCAGCGGAACAUCUCAGCUGUUGCAUACAGGUAGGACUAAAGGCAUCCAGCCAUGGGAACCCCUUGGAAUAUGUCCCCGCCUCCCUGCCUGCAUGGCCCAUGCAUAAACCUUCUGUCUCAGCAUCACUGUGGCCUCACGAUUAUGGGACCUUUUGAGCAGCUCUGAAUUCCACAAUUAUAUAGUUAAUGUUUUUGGAAAAGAAAGAAUGCCCAGGGAGAGAGCUAAGGAAGGUUUAACAUUGCCAGGGCUGGUGGGUCUCAUUUGUAAUCUCAGCUACUCAAGAGGCUGAGUCAGGAGGAUCAAAAGUUCUGCCAAAGCAAGUUAUAUAAACUCUGUUUCUAAAUUUUAAAAAAAAUGCAAAAGGGGGCUUAAAAUGUCACUCAGUAGAAGAGCACUCACUUAGCAUAUGGGAGGUCCUGGGUUCAACCCCCAGCACCCCUAACCCAAACAAAAUACCACAAAGGUUUAAAACAGGAAGGAGACAAUGUAUUCUCUGUCUCCUAUAUUGACUGCUAUUUGUCUGAACACCAAGAAGCAGUUUUAAUUCUUGGAAGCCCCCUUGAAAGAGGGCCAGGAGCCAAGUCUCUUGGCAAAGAGCAUCCAUGUCAGAACAUUCCCUAUACAAAUACUUUGUCCCAAAUUUUAACUCCCUGAGAGGUAGGACUUCAGAUGAAGGAAAAGCUGCCUUUACCAGACACGUCAACUACUUGCUCGGAGUGAAACCGUGGUGGGGUCAUGUGGUGGUGACUCCCUUGUUAGCUUAGAUGUUCCACUAAGAUGACAGGUGAUGGAGGGGUCACUGUCAGCAUCACAGGACCUGUCAAACCUCUGCGUGUUCAGCCUGUGCCCUGGAACGGGGUGCCCUGGAAUGGAGUGCCCUGUUGCCCUUCUCUAUACAGCCCUGAGGACUAUGUGGCCCACUCUUUCCUACUUUCUCUCACUCUGGAAGGCUGAGCAGCUAUGGUAUGGCUUUGCUUCCUAAGGAAAGGGAGUGCCCUUGCUCCUUCGGAAAACGUUUCUCCAUGUUCCUUAUUGUGAGCACAGUAGAUAUAAUCAUAACCCAUGUAAUUAGGUGAGAUGGUGUGCACUAAUAAACAUUAAAUUCUUUUCCUUGUUGAAAGACUAA